rnacentral:rRNA from 1 species
CCUACGGGUGACUGCAGUGGGGGAUAUUGCACAAUGGGGGAAACCCUGAUGCAGCGACGCCGCGUGGGUGAAGAAGUAUUUCGGUAUGUAAAGCCCUAUCAGCAGGGAAGAAGAAAGGACGGUACAUGAGUAAGAAGCACCGGCUAAAUACGUGCCAGCAGCCGCGGUAAUACGUAUGGUGCAAGCGGUAUCCGGAUGUACUGGGUGUAAAGGGAGCGCAGGCGGCACGGCAAGCCUGAUGUGAAAGCCCGCGGCCCAACCGCGGGACUGCAUUGGGAACUACCGGGCUGGAGUGCCGGAGAGUUAGGCGGACUUCCUAGUGUAGCGGUGAAAUGCGUAGAUAUUAGGAGGAACCCCAGUGGCGAAGGCGGCCUACUGGACGGUGCCUGACGCUGAGGCUCGAAAGCGUGGGGCGCAAACAGGAUUAGAUACCCUUGUAGUC